rnacentral:rRNA from 1 species
GUAAAAGGAGGUUGUAGGGUCGUACUGGGAGGUUCAGGGGCGUCCCUUUACCUCAUCCUGUGUACCAAAAGCAACUUCCUGUAUCACCGAUCGAGUAACCCUUUCUUUGUACGGCGGCUUCCUGUGGUGAAUUUUGUUUUCUCGGAGUUCAGCUUAGGUUCUGUCGUGUUAGAAUGGCGU